rnacentral:rRNA from 1 species
GAUGAACGCUGGCGGCGUGCCUAAUACAUGCAAGUCGAGCGAACAGAUGAGGAGCUUGCUCCUCUGACGUUAGCGGCGGACGGGUGAGUAACACGUGGAUAACCUACCUAUAAGACUGGGAUAACUUCGGGAAACCGGAGCUAAUACCGGAUAAUAUAUUUAACCGCAUGGUUCAAUAGUGAAAGACGGUUUUGCUGUCACUUAUAGAUGGAUCCGCGCCGCAUUAGCUAGUUGGUAAGGUAACGGCUUACCAAGGCAACGAUGCGUAGCCGACCUGAGAGGGUGGUCGGCCACACUGGAACUGAGACACGGUCCAGACUCCUACGGGAGGCAGCAGUAGGGAAUCUUCCGCAAUGGGCGAAAGCCUGACGGAGCAACGCCGCGUGAGUGAUGAAGGUCUUCGGAUCGUAAAACUCUGUUAUUAGGGAAGAACAAAUGUGUAAGUAACUAUGCACGUCUUGACGGUACCUAAUCAGAAAGCCACGGCUAACUACGUG